UGAUAGUUGGUAUGCAUGGCAAUAAGGUGGGUCAAUGGUAGAUUUUGCUCCCCCAUCCCUACCCUUAAAAGGUGUCAAACAGGUUGGAUUCGCCCCGUCUAACCUAACUUACACGAGACAAAUAUUAUUUUAGGCUACGUUAGCUUAACCUAAAUUCUUUUUUAUUCUAUUUUUUGGUCCAACUUGACCCAUGUUAGGCCAGAUUAAAUUGGCCUAAUUAAAAAUAUGAAAAAAAUUAAAUCUAUUUUUUUACAAUGAAAAAAAAGUAAAAUUAUAAUAUGAUUAAUUGAUAUUUUACACUAGUUAUAAAUGAGCAUAGCUAGUCACAAAUGUGAUCAAUUGUUGAAGUGUUUUUACAAUUGGAUUUAAAAUAAUGAUUUAACAAUUUAUUCACAAUUUAAACCCUUUCAAAUUCAACACAACUAUAUGGAAGAUCAUGCUUAAUAAUACAUUUAGGAAGUGCAUCUCUAUAAGUCUUAGGAUCAAAUUUUCAUUGUUUCAAUGAACUAAAUGUUGUAUAUAAGGUAUUAAAAAAGGAAGAAGUCCCACAUUGGCUAGUAUUGUCUUUGGAGAAUGGUUUAUAUAUCAAGUUAUGAUAUAAACAUAUAAAGAGGUUAGUAAGAAUAGUGAGGCUUGUGCACAUAUACUUGGACCAAGGAGGUUGUUGUAGUGUAAGUUAAUCAAUUUGCCACCUAAGCAUGAGAUGCACAGGCUUCUCACAAAUUUUUACGUCCUUUUGAUAUUAUUUUAAAUAAUUUCAAAAAUUAAGGGGCUUCAAGAGAGUAACGAUUUUAACAUCUUUUGAAAUUGAUUACUCAUAAUAUCUCAUUUUAAUGGUUUUUUUAUUUUUUGAUAGUAACAAUCAUGUUUUGAUGUGUUUAUUUUAUAGGAGUUGUGUUGGGUGUUAGGUUGGAUCAACUAAAGGAAAUUAUAAAACGGUUUCUCUUCAAGAGAGAAGGACUAGAGAGAGGUUUCUUUGAGUGAACCUUCCCCUUAUUCUUUUUUCCUCUACGGCUGAGAAGCCCUUUUCUUCCUUCCUUAUAACUGAUUAGAGGCAUGGUGGUGAGGAUUCUGAGUUGGUGAAGUUGAGGAUCUCUCCUUGUAGUUGUACGGAGCUCGUUGUCUUUUCAGUUCCUUUUAUCAGUUUCAAAUUGUCAACGAGAUAAAGGAAGCUUGCAUUGUUUCCAUGUGAUUAGGUGUGAGGCUUUGCGAUAGCAAGAAGUCUUUUUGGGUAACUGCUUUAAGAGAUGGCUAGACUUAGAGCUUGACCAGCACCUAGGGUGUCUCAUUUUGAUACUUUCAUAAUAUUGUAAUUAUAUUAUCUUUUUGGAUUACUGUAUAAUCUUUAUUGAGGAUGAUGACUCUGUUAUAAAAAUAUGUUAUAUAUUUUAGAAACAAUUUAUAUGUUAUUGUAUAUUUACAUUCUA